GACGAACGCUGGCGGCGUGCUUAACACAUGCAAGUCGAACCGAAAGGCCCUGCUUGCAGGGUACUCGAGUGGCGAACGGGUGAGUAACACGUGGGUGAUCUGCCCUGCACUUCGGGAUAAGCCUGGGAAACUGGGUCUAAUACCGGAUAGGAGCCAUUUUUAGUGUGAUGGUUGGAAAGUUUUUUCGGUGUAGGAUGAGCUCGCGGCCUAUCAGCUUGUUGGUGGGGUAAUGGCCUACCAAGGCGGCGACGGGUAGCCGGCCUGAGAGGGUGGACGGCCACAUUGGGACUGAGAUACGGCCCAGACUCCUACGGGAGGCAGCAGUGGGGAAUAUUGCACAAUGGGCGCAAGCCUGAUGCAGCGACGCCGCGUGGGGGAUGACGGCCUUCGGGUUGUAAACUCCUUUCGCUAGGGACGAAGCUUUUUGUGACGGUACCUAGAUAAGAAGCACCGGCUAACUACGUG
rnacentral:rRNA from 1 species